GAUUUGUUAACUUGUAAAGAAUUAUUCUUUUAAUCUCCAAAUUAUCCUUGACAACAUCAUUUACCAACACAGUUCUUCAAUGAUUUUUCCCAUCUCUUGCACAAUAUAAAGUCUUCAUUGGCUACCAUUCAAGCAACCAAAUUCUCUUCUUCUCCCCCUAUUAGAAAUAUGUUGUUUAAGAAAAAAAUAGUCUUGCCAUUUGUGGAGCAAUAACCAUGACAAAAAAAAAGGCAAAGCUUGAAUAGAUAGCGAAUGACAAUGUUAGACGAGUCAACCUCAAGAAAAUGAGGCUAGGAUUAUUGAAGAAAAUGAGUGAGCUAUCUACUUUAUGCAAUGUCCAUGCUUGUGCCAUCAUCUAUGGCCUAAACGAAAUCUAGCCAAUGAUCUGGCCAUCACAUGACAUGGUACAACAAUAGCUUGCACAAUUCCAAAGCUUGUCCGAGUUAGAGUGACUAUAGAAAAUGAUGAACUAAGAAACUUGCCUCAAAGAGCAGGUUAAGAAGGCCAAAGAAUAAUUGAUGAAGUGCGAAAAGAGGAAUAAGGAAAUUGAGAUGGCCUAUCUCAUGCAUCAAAUCAAUCAAGGCAAAGGGCUUGAUGAGCUUAACCUUAAUGAACUGAAUGGGUUGUCUUUGUUUGUGGAUGAAAAGAUAGAGAUAAACGAACGGAUUGAAUUUUUCCAACAUGCUCCUUUUGCUCUCGCAAACACCUUUCCUAUUCCACAUUUUCCUCUUCCUCCCUAAGGCCUUAUAUAAAUGAAACAACCAAAACUAGUAAUGGCAAAACUAACAAUGGUGGAGACUGGAGCACUCCCACAGAGCCCUUGCCGUGGAACCAAUGUUUCAUCGAUAUGAUGAACAAAAAUGAACCCAAAUUUGCCAGCGAUAGUAGCAUAAGGAGUGAUAUAGGCUUACCAUAUCACCCACAGCUAAGAGUGUUGUCACAACCCGGAACUCCCCUCGAGCCCGUGACAACCGUCGCGAUGCCCUGAUGGGCACUCAUAUCCCGGAAUGCCAACCGAAACCCCGCAAGGCUUAAUAUCAGUUUAUCAUUUCCCCCGGUGAGUAACCGUUGCUAAAUUUUAUGUUCUAAAGGAUUUUGAGCUAUUUCCAACUUAAAACUGAUAAAAUAAAAUUUUUUGUCUCAUAGGGGUAUUUUGGUAAUUUUCCACUAAAAAUUUUGAAACUAGUUAAAAAUGUAGUAAACAAGUACCAAUCGCAUAAUUCACAAUUAAAAAUAAGUUUAGGCAUCUAAAACCUUUAUUCAAAAUGAAAUUAUAAUUAUUUGAAUAUAAUAAGAAGAUAAAAUGAAAUAUUCACUAAAAUAUUUUAUUCUCUUAUAAACAGAAAUUUUUGAGUUAUGCGUAAAUACUUUUUGUAACAAAAAAUAAAUAAAUUCAAUCAUACUGUAGCACAAUAAACUAUUAAAUUUACAAUAUCAAGUGGGCCUACAAUAACUAGAAUUAAAGAAGCUGUGAACCUACAGUUUGGAAAAUGCAAUCCAAUGGAAAUCUCCGAUGGAACCAGCUAUCUACAGCCUACUCUGAUCCUGAAAUGGGUGGAAAGGAGGGUGGUGAGAUUAUAAAAUCCCAGUGAGUAAACAAACACCAUUUAAAUCAGCUAAAGCCGAGUAAAAGGAGACAAUUAAAAUAUCCCAUCAUUUUAAGUAUUUCACAAUUUGAAAAUUCAUCCCAACCCAUGCAAACGGUUGUAUUUCAUUUAAUUUCUCAUUAGGGCUUAUGACUUUCAUAAACAGUUGGCUCAUGCCAUCAAAUAUACUUGAUGACACCUUGAUCAGAGGCGUACACUCGAGCCCGCCAAGGCUGUUAAAAAUUUUGUAUAUACCUAAAACAUAUUUUUAGUUUAAGAAAACACAGCCGUUCCUUGGCUUUGGCUGAGUUCCCCUUCACGUGGUGGUUUGGCGUGAAGUGAACCCUAAGCUUUACCCCAGGAGAUACCCUACGCUCCUCUCCAUUUGAGGUAAGAAUAUAAUGGGGUUUACCGUGCCCCUCUAAAAGGCUGGUCCACAGAAACCCCCUACUGCAGUGAUUAAUUAAUAUAUAAUCCACCAAUCAAUAAAAUUCAUUCUAGCAUGACAUGGCAAUUAUUAUAAUUCACAGACUUUCAAGGCUAAAUACACAUUUCAUAUAUUUCAACACCAAUACCAAUUCAGCCAUUCAUGCAAAUACUGUCAUAAGCCAUUAGAUUCAUAAAUUUAAUUCAUAACAAGUGGUCUCCAAUUACUCUAUUUUUCAAAAUCAUCAUUCAAUUUUAAAACAAUUUAUAACAUCUUUUCAUGUAGACACAAUUUGUUUGUAAAACUCAAGAUUUACCAUUUAAUUUCAUUUUCAUAAAAUUUCAUCAAAAUCGAUUAAAAAUAUGCUUUAGAUAAUAAAAAUGAUGGUAAGGUUACUCACAGUACUAGGAGUUCGAUAUACUCCUAUUCUCGGUCUUCGGGCACAAUCUCUUUACCCUUGUUAGAGGACUCACCACCUAUACAUCAUACAUGACACGAAUUUCAAUAAAUUGUGUCAAUUUAUCAUAAACUAUUUCAGGCUCUCUAAAUCUAAAUGAAUGUAUGCGAUGGGAUGGGAUGCAAAAUGUCUAAUUAAUCACUUAAAUGUGAUGUUCGACCUAAAUCACACUAUAAUCAGUCUAAUCGGCUAAAAUCUCCAAUUUAACUCCAAAUCAAUUCUUCUCACUUUCUACACUCCAAUUUUACCUAAAUUACCUCAGUGACUGUGAAUGAGAUUCAAUUUAUCAAUCUCGGGUCAAUAAUCACACAUGUCUAUACAUUAGGUAAAAAUUCAAAUUUUCACACCAAAAUUUCCCAUUUAAUUUCUAGCCUCACCAAACAUCAAAUAUCACCCAAAUAUCAUGAAAUAUCAUCAAUUUCAGCCACAAUAUCCUCCCUAGGAAAUUCGGCCAAUAAUGGUGAUGGGGGAAAAUGAAUUCUUUUCUUGUUGUUUUGUUUCUAAAUAUGCUAAACUAACUAAAAACACUAACAUAACUUAUAAUCAAAUCACUCUAACUUCAUUCUCUCUCCAUACACAUUUAGGCAGCCAUGAAUUCACCAUGAAAACAUGAAAUCUAACCAUGGAAAAUAAGGAGAAAAGCAUGGAAAAGGUAGAUCACAAGUCAAAAUCAAGAAAUUUUACCUUUGAUUGCUUGAUUCCUUGAAAUCCCACACUUUUUCUUUAAUUUUCCCACCUAGGUUUCUUGUUUUUCUUUUCCUCUCUUUGUUCUUGCUAUGGCCGGCCACAUGAAGAGAAAAU
rnacentral:lncRNA from 1 species